GAGACAGAAAGAGGCUCAAACCUGGAUCCGGAGCCUCUGCUGCCUGAGAAGAGAGGAGGGGAAAAAAAAAACACUCCCACCCUCACACACAUACAUACACUCUGCCGCUGUAAUGUUAUUAGAGCUACAGAGCGGAUCACUCUGGUCUCUUCUGCUCUCUCUCUUUUCUCUUCAGAAAUUAAAGCAGAGCUGCAUCUGAGAGUGGAAAAGGUCCCCCUUCUGUUAUAACAUUCUUGGAUGCUGUGGAACCUGGCUGCUGCCACACUGCGUGUAUGUGAUUUAUAAAAGGGUGUGCAUAUGUAUAUAGAAAUUCCACCUUCUACUGCAACAGAAGACUUAUCAGCGCCAGAUUCCUAAAACAGCAUCUUGCCACAGCUGUACAUCUUACAGCACUGGAGGAGAAAGAUUUCUAAGAGGUCUAACAAUGGGUCAGAUCAUUCCUCUACCUGCGACAAACCUUCACAAGAAACAGGGAACUUCCUUGAGGAGUUUUCUCUGGACCAUUCAAUCAGAGAGGUUUAUGUAGUGAACCAGCAGAGGUUACUACAUGCAAGCAGCCAAAUCCUGGAGGAUCAGCCACUUAAAGAGCCAAGAAGCUGGAGGAUUCCAGGACAAAUGGGAAGAGUUGGGGGGGCAUCAUCUUGGCAGGAUUAUGGACAGGAGCCCUCAGUGGAAGGAAGAAGGACUGCGUUCAACAUCUUGGAUGUCAGUGUGAAUGACCCCCAGAAAAAGACUGUAUUGGGACUGUUAGACUGGGGCUGCAGGUGAACACUUUGGAUUUAAGAUGUGUCCCAAGAGGAAGUGACAGCUGAAG
ensembl:lncRNA